rnacentral:rRNA from 1 species
GACGAACGCUGGCGGCGUGCUUAACACAUGCAAGUCGAACGGAAAGGCCCUGCUUUUGUGGGGUGCUCGAGUGGCGAACGGGUGAGUAACACGUGAGUAACCUGGCCUUGACUUUGGGAUAACUUCAGGAAACUGGGGCUAAUACCGGAUAGGAGCUCCUGCUGCAUGGUGGGGGUUGGAAAGUUUCGGCGGUUGGGGAUGGACUCGCGGCUUAUCAGCUUGUUGGUGGGGUAGUGGCUUACCAAGGCUUUGACGGGUAGCCGGCCUGAGAGGGUGACCGGCCACAUUGGGACUGAGAUACGGCCCAGACUCCUACGGGAGGCAGCAGUGGGGAAUAUUGCACAAUGGGCGGAAGCCUGAUGCAGCAACGCCGCGUGCGGGAUGACGGCCUUCGGGUUGUAGACCGCUUUCGCCUGUGACGAAGCGUGAGUGACGGUAAUGGGUAAAGAAGCACCGGCUAACUACGUG